CGCCGCGUCGACCGAUGCAACGCGAAGAACCUUACCUGUCUUGACAUAUCUAGAAUCCUGCAGAGAUGCGGGAGUGCCUUCGGGAAUUAGAAUACAGGUGCUGCAUGGCUGUCGUCAGCUCGUGUCGUGAGAUGUUGGGUUAAGUCCCGCAACGAGCGCAACCCUUGUCCUUAGUUACCAUCGGGUUAAGCCGGGAACUCUAAGGAUACUGCCAGUGACAAACUGGAGGAAGGCGGGGACGACGUCAAGUCAUCAUGGCCCUUACGACCAGGGCUACACACGUGCUACAAUGGUAGGUACAGAGGGCAGCUACACAGCGAUGUGAUGCGAAUCUCAAAAAGCCUAUCGUAGUCCAGAUUGGAGUCUGCAACUCGACUCCAUGAAGUAGGAAUCGCUAGUAAUCGCGGAUCAGAAUGCCGCGGUGAAUACGUUCCCGGGCCUUGUACACACCGCCCGCCGUCGACGCGGCCG
rnacentral:rRNA from 1 species